rnacentral:miRNA from 1 species
UAUCAGUCAUCUUCCCAGUAUA